rnacentral:lncRNA from 1 species
AGAGUGACAGUAGCAUUAUUCUCUUAUUUACAGUUCUUCCUUUCUCUUCAGCAGUGAAAAUGAAAAGGAAAUCAAUGCCAUUAAAGAGAAUAAUGAGAAACUCACCUCCUGCAAGGCAUGCCUCCUGAAGAGGAAGUGUUUUCCCCCACUGUCAACCUCUUUGCAUCCAUUGUAAUGCCAUACAACUGACCUAGAAGCUGAAAGAAGCACUAUACAUGCCCUGGCCCUCUCCUGGUGUGUUCCAGUUGGUCUCCAGCUAGGGCUACACUGCUUACUCAUGAUGCAACCUCUGCAGUUCCCACAGGCCUACCAUGCAUGCUCUUUUUCUGCUCUGAAAGGAAAAUAAAACAUAAAGAAGGCAAGUCACAACAACUCUC